rfam:Plasmodium falciparum Dd2 cont1.961, whole genome shotgun sequence.
GGUGUGUGUACUUACUACAUAACGAAUCAAUCUUUCGCCUUUUACUAAAGAUUGCCGUGUAGUAAGUAUGUUAAAUACAAUAUACCACGAAUUUUUGUCGCGCCUAUUAAGUUAGGUGCU